rnacentral:rRNA from 1 species
AUUUUUGACAAUGGGGGAAACCCUGAUCAAGCAACGCCGCGUGGAUGAUGAAGUAUCUCGGUACGUAAAAUCCUUUCGACAGGGAAGAAACCCAAUCUUCGGAUUGGUCUGACGGUACCUGUAGAAGAAGCCCCGGCUAACUCCGUGCCAGCAGCCGCGGUAAUACGGGGGGGGCAAGCGUUGUUCGGAUUUACUGGGCGUAAAGGGCGCGUAGGCGGUUCGUUAAGUCGGAUGUGAAAACUGUGGGCUCAACCCACAGCCUGCAUCCGAUACUGGCGGACUAGAGUGCGAGAGGGGAAGGCGGAAUUCCUGGUGUAGCGGUGAAAUGCGUAGAUAUCAGGAGGAACACCGGUGGCGAAGGCGGCCUUCUGGAUCGCAACUGACGCUGAGGCGCGAAAGCUAGGGGAGCAAA